rnacentral:lncRNA from 1 species
GCGGUGCCCCGCACCAAGUACCAGGUACCAAGCGCCAGCACCCGGACCGCCGCCCUCCGCGGACUCCGCAGGGCGCCGCCGACCCCCAAACUCGCAGAACUCAGAAGGUCACGUGGUUGUGGAGCCGGACGGUGGCUCGCAAGGACCGAUUCUGCAGGCACUGCUACCCCUCCCGAGGCCCAGUUAGGAAUUGGAGCAGAAGCUCUACAGGAAGAGAACAGGAGAACCUUUCCUUGACUUGGUCUGCAGUCUUUGCUCACAUCACCGAGUAGAGGAUUUUUCUCCUCUAUGGAACACACUGUACAGGCUGAGUAUGAGACAUUUCCUCUGUGGCUGCUCAUGAAGUCAUUUUCCUCACAGAAAUACUGCAUUAAACUGUCUUUAUGUUUACAUGUAUGAGCCAC